GAUUAACGCUGGCGGCGUGCAUAACACAUGCAAGUCGAACGAUGAAACUCAUUAGAUUUCUUCUGAAUGAAAAUGAAUGGAUUAGUGGCGAACGGGUGAGUAACGCGUGAGUAACCUGCCUUACACAAGGGGAUAGCCUCUGGAAACGGAGAAUAAUACCCUAUGAAACCAGACAAUCGCAUGAUAAUCUGGUCAAAAUGUUUAGUGGUGUAAGAUGGACUUGCGUCUGAUUAGCUAGUUGGUGAGAUAAAAGCUCACCAAGGCAACGAUCAGUAGCCGGCUUGAGAGAGUGUACGGCCACAUUGGGACUGAGACACGGCCCAGACUCCUACGGGAGGCAGCAGUGGGGAAUUUUGCACAAUGGGGGAAACCCUGAUGCAGCGACGCCGCGUGAUUUAGAAGGCCUUCGGGUUGUAAAAAUCUUUUGUAUAGGAAGAAAAUGACAGUACUAUACGAAUAAGGUCCGGCUAAUUACGUG
rnacentral:rRNA from 1 species